GGCCGCAUGGCCCAAUGGCAAGGCGCUUGACUACAAAUCAAGAGAUUGCAGGUUCGAUCCCUGCUGUGGUCAC
rnacentral:tRNA from 1 species